CAUACGCAGUAUGAAAGACUGAAGAAGGGUUAAUAACUGGUUCAUAACACAGUUUUAUAAGACUUUAAUAAACUCUAUCACGACGCGAGCCGAAUAAUUUGCCCAAGGAUAAUCGGGAGUACGCUGUGUUUUUCGGCAAACAUAUUACAGAUGAGAACUGAGUUAAAUGACGGGAAAACCGAGUCUUACAGCUGCUCCGCACAUUUGCUUGGGGAAAGAGAGUGACAAAAAUGAGAAAUGCUUUGCUAAUCUGAGAUAUUUCUAGCAAUAAGGUUCUUGCUCGAGUUAGGGGACGCUGUCACGAGAAUAUCCGGCCGUUCUGGGCAGAAGACACCAGCAUAUCCCUCUGAAUGGGAAAGAAAGAAAUCUGACGUCAGCGGAUAUAACUUGAACAUUCUUUGUGUGGACUGCAGAUGUGGAAAUUCGAUGUGACGAAGAGUCGAACGUUUCUCAACUUACAGCCUUCAUGAGUCAGUCCAUGAUCCCACCUCCACUCUGAAGUACGCCGUUGUUCACUCAGAGGAGAAGCAGGUAUCACACCUGAAUAAAUCGCAGCCGAAUCACAGCCUAACAAUCACUGGCACGACACGUAAAUGUCUUCACAACAGGAGGAGCGCGUCCUCAUGUUUGGAUGGUUGCUGUAGGUGCAGACUGGAAGGUGCCCCGUCGGUCCAAUCCGUUUGACGACGCGCUCGGACUUGGCCGUCUGCCUACCUACACAACUAGAAGUAACAGCACACCACUGUCAACUAAACUAUAGGAGGUGUGAAUGAUUCAUGAAAGGGGCACUACAUGGGUCACUACUCUAAUCUCUACCCGGGCGGAUCACUAUGGAAUUCUACUCUACGGCAGCUAAAUUCUACAAUGUGUCUUAAAAGUACAACAAAUUAUGUAUAAUAUUUCACAAACGUAAUUUUUAUUCUAUGUAAUAUUUAUACAAGUCGAAAUCCUACUAGUUCUAACAACACAGAACAAUAAUUUCUUUCUGUUUUUACUUUAGAUAGAACCUGUAUGAGGUCCUUUUUAAUUUUAUGAUAUAAUUCAUAGCCUCGUUGUUUUCGAACAUAAGAUGACGUCAUUGUCACCAAAUGUCACAUGACUGGCUUAAUUCUGCCAAUACGUUAACAGUAAAUUUACAAUAAUUUACAAGUGGCGUAAAAAUGAUGAUCUGAACACAGAAAGAAAACACAGGUUAGCAAGUCAUCUAACUAUACAGUUGAUAUUAAUAAUAUAUAAUAUGUAACACUGUAAAUGUUAAAAUAACUAUUAAAUCUAACACAACUA